CCUGCCUUCAUCUCCCCCAGUUUAUCCCACCUACUUUGCUGCUAGUGAAGAUCUUUGAAGGAGAAAAAGAAAAAAAAAAAAAACCAAAAACUUUGCACAUUGUGAAAAAAGAUAUGAAAUGGAAGGGAAAAGAAGGGAGUUGCAGACAUUCAGACAGAGGGUCCUGGCUCUGAACCUCACAGACCUCUGAGUGGAAAAGGAGAGAAAGGAGCAGCUGUGGUGUCUGUGGAGGAAAGUAGGAGAAUAUGGCCUUCAUGGAGUAGUCCAGAGAGCUCCCGCUGCCUGUGCCUGGCAGGCUGGACACACACAUCUUGCAUCCUGGUUGUGCCCUGGGUCUGCAGCGUGGUGCCCUUCCGUGCAGAUUUGAUGGACUUCUCUGCCUCUCCUUGGAAACAUGUAAGCAGAAACUGGGCCAGAGAAACCACCCCUGAAUGAAGAAAAGGAUGUGGCACUAGCUGGCAAAUUUGGACAUGUCAUUCAGAACGUGGUACGGAGGUCCUGAUGAAAUUGGAAAAGCAUUCAGAGAUAAAAAUCAUUCUGGGAUGAAUCCAGACACUUCCUGCCCAUCUCCAGAUGUCACAGAGCUGGAAGCCAC
rnacentral:lncRNA from 1 species